CAGCACCAAAAUCAGUAACCAAGCGAUUGCUAAACUAGCUUGGCGACUACGCUUGGGUGCUAAAAUUAAAACACGCUAUAAUGCCGCAUGUAUUUAAAGAGCAUACUAACCCAUUGGAAUGCUUGUGGCCUUGUUUUGAGACAAGU
rnacentral:snoRNA from 1 species